GAAAUGCGAUACUUGGUGUGAAUUGCAGAAUCCCGUGAUCCAUCGAAUUUUCGAACGCAUUAGCAUCGUAGGCGCAAGUCUUCGAUGGGUAAGAAUCAGCGCAGGAAUAUCUUAUUAAACUCCACAGUUUCCCCCCCUUAGGGGGAGGAUUUUGUGAUUGAUGGCCCUGGUUUUGAGAGAUUGCUUAUGAUCUGACGUGCUUCUUCCCUGCCGAUAGGCGGUGUUGCACUAAAAGAAUACCUGCAAACUCAUUAUAACAAAGCACUCGGCUUAAAUAUUGUACAUGAUAUGAUAGGGUAACUUAUCUAUCAAACACGUACACAUAAGCUAACUCCCGCCUGAUUUUUGCCAGACUACCCGCUGAAUUUAA
rnacentral:misc_RNA from 1 species